rnacentral:rRNA from 1 species
GAUGACGCUGGCGGCGUGCCUAAUACAUGCAAGUCGAGCGAGCGGCGGACGGGUGAGUAAUGUCUGGGAAACUGCCCGAUGGAGGGGGAUAACUACUGGAAACGGUAGCUAAUACCGCAUACCAUCGGAUGUGCCCAGAUGGGAUUAGCUUGUAGGUGAGGUACCGGCCCAACUAGGCGACGAUCCCUAGCUGGUCUGAGAGGAUGACCAGCCACACUGGAACUGAGAAACGGCCCAGACGACUACGGGAGGCAGCAGUGGGGAAUAUUGCACAAUGGGCGCAAGCCUGAUGCAGCCAUGCCGCGUGAAUGAAGAAGGCAUUCGGGUUGUAAAGUACGUUCAGCGGGGAGGCGUUACCCGCAGAAGAAGCACCGGCUAACUCCGUGCCAGCCGCCGCGGUAAUUC